GAUGAACGCUGGCGGCGUGCCUAAUACAUGCAAGUCGAGCGAAUGGAAUAAGAGCUUGCUCUUAUGAAGUUAGCGGCGGACGGGUGAGUAACACGUGGGUAACCUGCCCAUAAGACUGGGAUAACUCCGGGAAACCGGGGCUAAUACCGGAUAACAUUUUGAACCGCAUGGUUCGAAAUUGAAAGGCGGCUUCGGCUGUCACUUAUGGAUGGACCCGCGUCGCAUUAGCUAGUUGGGGAGGGAACGGCUCACCAAGGCAACGAUGCGUAGCCGACCUGGGAGAGUGAUCGGCCACACUGGGACUGGGACACGGCCCAGACUCCUACGGGAGGCAGCAGUAGGGAAUCUUCCGCAAUGGCCGAAAGUCUGACGGAGCAACGCCGCGUGAGUGAUGAAGGCUUUCGGGUCGUAAAACUCUGUUGUUAGGGAAGAACAAGUGCUAGUUGAAUAAGCUGGCACCUUGACGGUACCUAACCAGAAAGCCACGGCUAACUACGUGCCAGCCGCCGCGGUAA
rnacentral:rRNA from 1 species